AACAAGAUUCAUUCUCGACAGCUCUGUUUCAGUCAUUGCAAGUAAUAGCAAAACACAGCUGCAUCCCCGGCAAAAGUAUGUAAAGAGCUAAGCCAACCAAACCCAUAUAGAAACAACAACCAUAAAUUCCGUCAUUAUCUUGGCAGAACACACAUCUUAGUUUGUAAGGGUAAUUGUACUACAAAUUGUAUUUCUCAAUAAAUCCCACAAAGAACAAAUUACAAAAGCAAGAAGGACACAGGAUGACAUGUGGCCACCAGAAAGCAUCACAAAAAGCAGACGAAACAUUACAUGCAUACCUUAUUAUAAGCCUUGCCACAACAUACAGCAGGUCUACAGACCACCUGUAAGCAAAUCUAAAACCUGUUCUUACCUAGAACAGCCAAUGCAAAUUAACAAAGCUUAUGGAAAACGACGAGGCACAACAUCGAGCUAAACAGUGGAGCAUUGGGUACAUAUCAGCAUGUUCAAAUCAAGAUAGCAAAUACUAAUUCCAUCACAGAACAUACAACAGUUUCUUGGCCGGAGCAAGUCAAGGCAUAACCAGUCUGACAAAACACAAGACCAGAGAGAAAACAGGAAACCAUAGACUCAUCAUCCAGUUUAUCAGAGGUGCCGUCUGUGAUUUGUUGUAGAGCCAGUUCAGAAUCCUGGGUGUAGAUGGUGUAGCUUGAGGAAGCUAGAUGAUUGUGAAAUGAUGGAUAGCAACAAGUACAAACUGCUUCACACUCUGUUCCAAGCAGAAAUUACAAAAGCAAACAGGAAAUGUGGUACAAGCGUACGCACUAAAAAAUAAUAGAUGAAACACCAUUACACCAUACUUCGUUCCAAGCCCUCCCUGGCCUCGACAAUACUGUUCCACAAACCACUAGAAGCAUGUCUAAAACCUAUUUCUUGCCUAGACCAAAACAUUGCAAUACUAAAAAGAUUAUAGAGAACAAUGACACAUUUUCAAAGAUGCAGUUGCAGAGCUAAAUAAAUAAAGGCGGGGGAAGCUAAACAGUGGAGGACAUAAGAUAGUAGACAAUAAUUCCAUCAUAGAAGAUACUGUUAGCUGUAGUAAUCAUUGGGUUGUACUGUAUUCACUUAGCUAGGGAGUCGUAGACUAGUGGUAUGUCGGCUGAAGCUUCCUUAGUAAGGUAGUGCAUGCAUGUAAACUGCAGUAGUCGAUUUGGCUUUUGCAUGUACCGGCAGCUGCUAGAGCUGCAUGGUCUUUUUUAUAGGAACCGACUUCCCCUGUAUUACUACUAGAAAGCAGAGGCGUACUUGAGCCAGUUGUUAGUUUAUUUGAUUCAUUUUUUUGUUCAAAAACUUGAGUAAAGCUAGAUUAGAAGAAGGGCAGUAUGCAGAAAACAACUCACAAGGAUCACCGUGAUGAAUGAGUUGAAACUGAUGAACUAACAAACUGAACAUUUGUGUAUUUUAGAAGCCAAAUGUUGUUGAACAAAAACCUACAGGCUGAUGCUGCUAUACAAACCGUCAAGUAAACUACACUUUCUAGUAGUUAGUAUUUAUUUAUUUUUUGUCUACCUCUAAAUCCACAGUGCAAACUCAGGUUUUGUGAAUGGUCUGAAAACAACCAUAGUCCUAACAGAAAACAACCAUGUCCUCAUGCCAGAUUAAUCAAAAUGGAAAAGGGCAUAUCUAUAAAUUCAGCACUAAGAAUCAUGAAAGGAAAAAAUCCUAGCUGGAGCUGGAGCUCGAGAACAACGGAUCUAACUAGGGCUGGACCAAAGGCGCUCGAUAGUUCGGCUCGUUGAGCUCGUGGCUCACUUCUUAAUGAACAGAGUCAAUCAUUAAUUUCAGCUCGUUAAGCUUAACAAGCUUAAUGAACGAGCUAACGAGAGCUUAAUGAACGAGCUAACGAGUUUCAUGAGUAGCUCGUUAGUAACUUUAGAACCCACAUUUUUGUCUUUGGUGACAAAAAUUUUAUAGCACCUAAGUCCAUCUAUUCAAUCUAAUCUACAUAGGAGGCAACAAACUAGUGCAUUUCUUGUUGUAGUCAUCAUUUUUCUUCUUAAAAAUCAUAUGUACACACUCAUCAUGUAGACCGUAACACAUCAGAAUCUGUUAACGAGCUGAGCCUUAAGGAGCCAAGCAGCUCGUUAAUCCACCCCUAGAUCCAACCACAACCGUCCACCAUCACGGCUGACGCAAAGGCAUAGGAUGGAGGAUGAUGCCUUUUUCCUCCAAUUUCCCUCUUCCUGUCUUGCUUCCCCUAUCACCAUCCCCUCGUCGCUCGGCUCUAGGUCCAAAGGCUGACAGCGGCUGCCACUCCCAGUGGCAUUUUCACUCCCUCCCCCACACUUCACAUGUCCUCUCCACUUCUGCCAAUCUGACUAGGCAUCCUUUGCAUGUCUGCGAGUUGCUAUGUACGCUGCCUUGUUCUGCAUCAUGUGCUCCCAUGCAGGUUGUCAGCAUAGCCAAAGCUCCGGCACCACCAAUGGUGGAGCAAGAGUAUGGGCAGUUGGCACCGCCCCCGUCUCACGCAAGGACGCAGAGCGCCCAAGAGCACGACGCUACCUACCGCCAAGGCCAGAGAUGCCCAGCAAGGGAACAUGUAAUGCAGCAUCAAGUUCGUGGCACACAACUCACAAACAAGGUAAGGACACCAAGCCAGAUCGACAAGAAUCAAGAGUGCACCCGAGGUAUGGGGAAGCAAAGAAAACACUGCCAAGAGCAGCACACCCCGCCAUCCUCUACCUUCUCUUAGCUUGAACUUGCAAAGAGGAACCCCGAGUCGAGUGCCUCGUCCCAGUUUUGCCCUCAGGGUAUGCCAUCACACAUGUCACUUUCUUCCCCCGGCACCAAGGGAAGGUCCUUGAUCGACACGGGGUUGCUUACAAUCAAUAACCUCUAGCGAGGUGGCUCCUUACAAGAAUCCCCUGAAUUAAGGUUGUCUUCCAAUCUCAAAAAUAACUCCAUAAAAGUGCAAUUGUCAAGUCGUAUGAACUCCUUUGCCGCACUGCUCAAGACACAUGCAUGGCAGUGUAAAAAGCAUGAUGACUAAAGGGAGGCUUAACACAAAUCUUAAUAGCACCGCCCAACGAGCUUCGCGCAUGGGCUCUCCAAUCAACCUUGGUAGAUCAAUUGGCUCAAUCCUCCUCUUCCUUGAGUUCCAAAAUGGCACGACUCAACACCUUGUAGCCAUUGCUGCACAAAACGAUCGUCCGCAGACCACAAAUGUCGCACCAAAUAUCUGAGGCCGCUGCCCCGACGUACGAGCCUGACUAAACUCAUAUAUCGCUCGAUUGGGCCGACUAACUCGCUAUCCUUAUAGUACCAAGACGCCAUCCAUGCAAUGCUGAGCCACAGACCGACCCCAUAGAACGGUGCUUCUCUCCAUCCCAAUUUUUCACGCCAUCAAAUGGCAACUAACUUCAUGGUUACUUGCGGCAAUCGAGAAGUGCAUUCUUGUUUUCAUUUGGAGAGGGACCAACAGAGUCAACAACGGGCAAUGCAGGCAGACUAGACGUUAGCAUCCUCGGUUAUGCGUUGCAAAUUUGAUGGUUGUGAUAGAGGCACUCCUAUUGUUGUUGGGCCAAGUUACCGCUCCCUGUCGUAAACAAGGAACAAUCCAAGUUCAUCACCCAUACUUCCUGACAAUGCAAAUUUGACCCUUUCUAAACCAAUAGAUGCCCGAAGGACAGUCCAUCCAACUCCUCAAGCACAUACUCUUUAGUGCCCAUCUUCGCACGGCAAACCAUUCGUAGAUCCAAGAUAUCAUCGAUGUGCCGGUCGUGCAAGUCAUCACGGUCUACAUGUGUCAUCCUUUGAGCAACAUCACCCUUCAAGAUGACAUAUAGUAGAUCGCCUUCUUUAGAAGGACAUGCAUCGUCCAAGUACUCCGUGUAUCGUGCGUUCUUACAUGGGCUUCAACUCGUCCCGUUCUAGUAAUCAAUCUCGAUCUAAGUUUCCGAUCAUUUUUUCUUAAGCUAGUACGCUCAUGUGCAACCCUACCUCCUCUACACGCGAGGAUGUCUUUCUCAACGAUUAUUGUCGACGCUCUGUUGCCUCCAGAUCGAGAUCGUCUCCUUCGUCAUCCAGGCAUCUCUCGUCAUGUUGAAUUCCCACUGGUAAUCGUUUCCAUCGUGCCCUUUUCGAUCUCAAUACCUACGCCACCCUCAUGCUCGCCUCUUAGGGUUGAGGCGUCACGCUUGCAACAACAGGCUACCUCUCCGACAUCUUCAGGAGGCCGCGCCUCGCCGCCACGUAUAGGAGGUUGGCGCUUUGCCGCUCCAGGAGGUCGCGGCUCAUCCCCAUCUCCAACUGGUUGUCGCCCAACUGCAAUCUUCGGGACGUCCGCUACUAUACGUCACGGUCUUUGCUCCCUCUUUUACUACACACCGGACCUCAACGGCGGACUUCACCGUCGGACCUCAGACUGGACAGCACAUCACGUCGACUGGCUUCUCUGGGGUGGAUGCACGUGUCGCCCUAUACACUGAUCUUACAAGCUCUGUUGCUCUCUUCUUUUGUAAGAUGAAGCUAGUUAUGUAAAAGGAAGAGUAGAAGAACAAAUAAAAACAAGUGUGCUGACUUCAUUUGAUACAGGUGGUUAGACUGAUGACUCUGCUUGUAGAGCAUUUUUUACUACGACUCUUGUUCCGACUAAGGAUCAUCACACGGGUGCUCUACUUGGUAUUGGUCCUUGGCGUUGUGACUCUCAUGGCCUCUGGGAGCUUGGUUGGCUUCACCUUUCCUCUAUUACCCCCAUCGCUAGUCCCUUCGCCUUCGCCUCUACCUAGACAAUCAGCUCUAUGUGGCAUCAUUAUCUUGGUCACUUGUGAGGCUCUCAUCCCUCAUCCUUAUUACAAUAUGGUCCUCUUAAAUCUGUCUCUGACGGUGUGUCUUUUUAGUCAACCAGGUUUUCGGCUUGGUAAACAUGUUAAGUACGUUAUCCUCAUAUAGUAAUACCAAGACUGUGCCUCCUCGUACCUUCAAUCUUGUCCACUCUCAUGUUUGUCAUGUUUGGGAUCCAGCCCCCUUUCCCUCGAAAGGAGGCCGUCGCUACUGAUAUUAUCUUUAUAGAUGAUUUCUCUCGACACAAAUGGAUAUAUUUUGUGUUCUUAUAGUGACGUCUUAUCUAUCUGUAAUAAGUCGUCAUGCUUUGUACAUGGUUUUCCACUUCUAUUUGUGUCUUCCGUCCAAAUUCUACUUGCCAGUAUAUCUCUAUUUGUUGUGUGGAUAUCUUGCUGAGCAAGGCACACUUGCUCAGUUCACUUGCCCUAGUGCUUGGUGCUCAUGCUCAGAAUGGUGUUGAUGAGCGCAAGCAUUGUCACCUCUUGAGGCGGCUCGAGGCUUUGAUGAACGUCGCCUCUCUUUAGCCUCACAUUUGGGUUGAGAUUGUUUCUACUUCCACCUAUCACAUUAACAUGUGACAUUUCUCUCUAGCGUUUUAUGGUCGUUCUCAUGACUACUUAACGCUCAAUUGUUAAGUUGUGUUUGGUACGUUCUUUUUGCCCCCAUUGAACGCAUCAAACUGACUGCUAGGUACAGUAAUGAGCACAUCCUUUCUAUGCACGUCCAUCCACCCAUUGAGGAUAUUUCUUUCCUCAAUUUUCCCAAAACACCUACCACUCAUGUAUUGUCCUCGUCCACCCAUCCCAUCGUGUAUUUAUGUACUACUAAUGUAGAACCCAUGCCAUCAUAACCUACUGCUUCCCCAGCUCGUUCGUUACCUGAGGCUAACCUCACCUCACUCGUCCCUGAGGCUUCUUCGGUGAUCCCCCUCGUCUUUGUCUUUACCACAUUUGUCGUCCGCGUGAUUUUUCUGAAGAGCAAGUGAGAUACAUACUGGAUGGGUAAGAAAGACAACUCCCUCGACUACCAUGCCUCCUUCUAUUGGCAACACACCGACUCUAGCUCAACCUACUAUGCCUUUCAGCUCGCCCACUUCCACCUAUUGACCGAUAUGGCAAUUCUUCGUGUCGCUCUGCUCGACAACUUAUCAUGACGCUGACAAACAUGUCUUCUCUAAAUGAACGAAGUGAGAUACAUACUGGAUGGGUAAGAAAAGACAUGACAAGCAAACUUACAGCAUCCAUGGCGUCCUUACUGACCCUCUGGUAGAGGCUAGGGUUCUACCAGGUCUCGGACGUAGGUUGUAGGGGUGGAAGUGCGGGCUGCGAGGUUGGGGACGCCGGCGCCGGCGGUUGGGCGCCUUCGCGGCGUGAGAGAGAGAGAGAGGCGGCUAGGGUUUGGGGCUCCUGUCUCCUGAGGGAGACGACAACAGAAUAUUGUUUAUUGUCUGCUUAAUAUCGAAGGGGUACAUGUGUUUAUAUAGAAGGACAGCCUCAACUAAACCCUAGAUAACUUGGACUCUAACUUGGACUGUAAUAUAACUUGGACUCUAAUAUAACUUGGACUCUAAGAUAGGUAAGAUAACUUGGGCUAAGCCCGUAAUUAACCCUGCCCAUUGAGCCUCCUCAGUUGGUAUGUUGUACCGGUCAUAACAUCUCUCCCCGCCUUCUCAAACAACUCGUCCUCGAGCUGAACAUCUGGAAACUGCUGGCGGAAAUCGUCGAGCUUCUCCCAAGUCGCUUCCUCCUUUGGCAGGCCGGUCCACUGUACCAAGACAUGCCAGACGCCGCGACGCUGCUGCGCCUGUAGCACCUCGCCACCUGUGCGGAAGCUGGAAGGAGGCGGCCAUCCGAAGUAGGAGGAAGAGUCGGCGUAGCUGCAGGAGGGUCCCCGCGGUAGGCCUUCAGUAAGCCGACAUGGAAGACGUCGUGGAGGCGAGAACCAGCUGGCAGCUCCAAGCGGUAUGCGAGUGUGCCGACACGCUCCAGCACACGAAAGGAACGGCGUAGCGAGGUCCCAAUUUGCGCUUGGAGCGCGGGUCCAGAGACUGCGUGGUCCUGUGGAGGAGGCGCAGCCACACCCAAUCGCCAACCGCGAACUCCGCCUCGCAUGAUGAGCAUCGUAGUACUUCCGAGCCAGCUGUUGUGCUUGGAGAAGACGCUGGCGCGCCUCAGCCAGAAUGUCGUCGCGGGUGCGGAGUAAGUCGCCUGCCGUCUCGGACUGAGCCGUCCCAGGCUCGUAAGGGAGCAUCGCCGGAGGUGGGUGCCCGUAGACCACCUCCAAAGGCGUGGUGCGCGGGGCGGAGUGAUAGGAGGUGUUGUAGCAGUACUCCGCCCACGCCAACCAGUCCACCCAAGCUCGUGGACGAUCACCAGUAACACAGUGCAGGUACACGGCGAUUACCUUGUUGACCACCUCGGAUUGGCCGUCUAUCUAAGGGUGGAACGCCGUGCUCAUGCGGAGCUUCACGCCCGCCAGUCGAAAGAGAUCCCGCCAGACAUGUCCCGUGAACACGGGAUCACGAUCGCUGACGAUGGACGAUGGAAAACCAUGGAGGCGAAAGAUGCCGUCGAAGAAGGCCCGCGCCACGGAGGCGGUUGUAUAUGGAUAACCCAGGGCGAUGAAGUGCGCGUACUUGGAGAAGCGGUCAACCACCGUGAGGAUGACGGACUUGCCGCCCACCUUGGGAAGGCCCUCGAUGAAGUCCAUGGAAAUAUCCGCCCACACCUGGGAGGGUACGUCCAGCGGCUGCAGUAGACCCGCGGGUCGUAGUGUCUCCGUCUUGUUCCGCUGGCACGUCACGCACGACCGCACCCAGUUGCGGACCAUCGCGCCAUCACCGGGGAUGUAAAAAUCAGCACGGAGACGAUGGAGAGUCUUCUGCACGCCCUCGUGCCCUGCAGAGUGCGCCAAGGUCAGGACCUGGUGGCGCAGGUCGCCAUGGUCGGGCACGAAGAUGCGGCGGCCAUGUAGGAGCAGCCCCUCGUCCAGGCGCCAGGGCGCGUCCAGCUCGCCGGUGUCAAGGCGUUGGCGCAGGCCCUGCGCGUCCGCGGCCGUCGAAGUUGCCCGGCGAAUGUCGUCGAUGAAGGCGAAAGAUGGCCCGGAGCGGAUGCACAUGAUAGUGCUAGCCAUGGCGACGUCGCCCGCGACAUCCUCAGUGUCGCGGCGGGACAAGGCGUCGGCGACCGUGUUGAGACGGUCGGGGCGGUACUCGACGGUGAAGUCGAAGCCGAAGAGCUUGCCGAUCCACUGGUGUUGCGGAACUAUGGAGAGGCGCUGGUCCAGCAAGAACUUGAGGCUGUAGUGGUCCGUGCGCACACGAAAUGACCGGCCCCAAAGAUAAGGCCGCCAGUGGCGCACCGCCUGAACCAGCCCAAUAAGCUCGUGCUCAUAGGCCGCGAGCUUGUGAUGGCGAGCGACGAAGGGGCGACUGAAGAAGGCGAGCGGUCCCUCGCCCUGGUGGAGGACGGCGCCGAAGCCGAUGCCAGAGGCGUCGCAGUCCACCAUGAACGGCAUAUCAAAGUCUGGCAUCUGGAGGACGGGUCCCGUCGUGAGCGCCCGCUAGAGAGCCUCGAAUGCCGUAGUCGCCUCCUCGUCCCAGGAGAAGGCGUCGCGUCGAAGGAGACGCCUCAGUGGCGCGGCGAUGAGGCCGAAGUCCCGGAUGUACUUCCGGUAGCAGCCGGCGAGAUCCAAGAAGCCACGGAGCGCCCGCGGUGACCGCGGGGUCGGCCACGCGGCGACGGCGGCGACCUUGUCCGCGUCCAUCGCUACCCCGUCCGCCAAGAUGACGUGCCCCAGGUACGUGGCGGAGGUCGUGCCGAACGAGCACUUCGAGCGCUUGAGGUGAAGACGAUGCGCUCGAAGCUCUUUGAAGAUGAUGGCCAAUUGUUGUAGGUGCUCCGCCCAAGAUGCACUGUAGAUAAGAAUGUCAUCAAAGAAAACAAGCACAAAGCGGCGCAAGUAUGGGCUGAGCACGUCGUUCAUCAGGGCCCGGAAGGUCGCCAGCGCAUUGGAGAGGCCGAACUGCAUCACCAGGAACUCGAAGUGGCCAUGGUGAGUGCGGAACGCCGUCUUCUCGAUGUCGUCAGGGUGCAUGCGCACCUGAUGGUAGCCCGAGCGAAGGUCGAGCUUGGUGAAGAAGCGCGCUCCGUGUAGCUCGUCCAAGAGCUCAUCCACGACGGGGAUGGGGAACUUGUCCUUGGACGUCAGGGCGUUGAGGGCGCGGUAGUCGAUGCAGAAGCGCCAUGUGCCGUCGGGCUUGCGCACAAGGAGCACCGGGGCUGAGAACGACGAUGUCGAAAUCCGGAUGAUGCCCUGCGCAAGCAUGACCGCCACCUGACGCUCGAGCUCGUCUUUCUGCAACUGAGGUUACCGGUACGGACGCACGGCGACAGGUGCCGUGUCCGGCAGCAGGUGGAUGCAGUGGUCACAGGGCCGCGCGGGAGGGAGGCCCUGUGGCUCGUCGAAGAUGUCGUUGUGCUGCUGCAGGAGGUCGGCCAGGAGGGGAUGCGCCUCGUCCAGUGCGGCCGCCAUCAACUGGAGCUGCGGAGUCGCGGAGCCGGAGCCGCCGAUGCCUGUCCACUGAACGCGACGGCCGCCCUCGCGCCAGAAGAUGAGGGAAAGCACAUCGAGGUCCCAAAGGAUGGGGCCGAGAGUGGACAGGAAGUCGAUGCCGAGGAUGAAGUCGAAGAAGCCAAGGUCGAUGCCGACGCAUUCAAUGGAGAACGGCUCGUCGCCGAUGAGGACGGGAACCUGUCGCGCCACCCCCUGGCAAGCAAGGCGGUCCCCGUUGGCGACGGUGACGCUGAACUUCUCUGAGCCCGCCGGUUGGAGUACGAGGCGGCGCAUGGCGUCCCCGGACAGGAAGUUGUGCGUCGAACUCGUGUCCACGAGCGCGGUGAGACGCUCCACAUUGAUCAUCACCGAAAGCAGCAUCGUCUUUGCCGUCUUGAUGCCAGCCAUGGCAUGAAGGGAGACGACGAAGGCGGUCGCGUCGACCGGCCCGUAGGUCGUGACGCCGGCCUCGGAGAGUGUGGUGGCGUCGAGCUCCGCGGUGAGGGCCUCCACCUCCGCGUCGUCGACGGUCUCCAAGUAGAACAGGCGGGCGCACGUAUGACCCGGCGCAUACGACUCGUCGCAGUUGAAGCAUAGGCCCUUGCGGUGCCGCUCGAGCUGCUCGGCCGACGUCAAGCGCCGGAAGGUGCGUAUCGGCGCGGGGGCAGCCGCAAUAGCGGCCGGCAGGGGGCGUGUCCAGGUGGCGGCCGCCGGGGCGGGGCGGGGCGGGGAACGCGUGCCGCGGCCCGGGAACGCCUGCUGCAGGGCGUUGGCGCGCUGCUCGUACGCGCGUGCGUAAUACAUGGCCGUCUGCAGGUCCUGGGGGUCGCGCAUCUCGACGUCGAUGCGGAUGUGGUCAGGAAGGCCACCGACGAAGAGCUCAGCGCGUUGGCGAGCCGUGACAUCAGGCGCAUGGCAGGCCAACGUCUGGAAGCGGUCGGCGAAGUCCUGCACCGAGGUGGUGAAGGGAAGGCGACCGAGCUUGGCCAAGCGGCUCCCACGGUAUGGGGGGGGCGAACCGGAGGAGACACAGGUCGCGAAAGCGCUCCCACGGAGGCAUCCCGCCCUCGUCCUGCUCGAGGGCGUAGUACCACGUCUGGGCGGCGCCACGGAGGUGGUAGGAGGCGAUACACGUGCGGUCGGACGCCAUGGUCCGCUGCCCCCUGAAAAACUGGUCGCACUGAUUGAGCCAGUUCAGGGGGUCAACGGUGCCGUCGUAGGUGGCGAACUCCAGCUUGGUGAAGCGGGGCGGCUGCUGCACGUGUGGCGAGGCCGCGAAGGUGCCCUCGUGACGACCCAGCGUGGCGAAAGGAGAGUGUUACGGCACCACGAAGCUCCCAGCGUACGGGUCAGUGUACCCACCGAACCCCCCGAAGGUGGGGGCAGGUGGCUGCAACACCGUCGGUUGUAGCGGCGCCGUCGUGUAGGUCGGCGUGUCGAUCCACGUCGGUAGCGGGGAUGGCGACGGCGGCCACUGAACCUGGGUGAUCGGCAGGCCCUGGGGCGCGACAGUGGCCGGGGGCGAUGGCGCGAAGGGCGCCGCCGGCGGAGGCGGUGGUGGCGGGGUUGCGUACGGAGCCUGGAGGAAAGUCCGGAGGUUCGAGACCGCCAGGUUGAGGUCGCGGAUCGCCGAGGACAUCUCCGCCGGGGAGAGGACGGGGGCGGGUUUGGCCGCCAAGGCCGCGGUACCGGAGGCGGCCGGACCUGAGGUGGCCGGCGGUGGCGAGUGGUGCGGCGGCGGCGGCGGCUGCGAGGUGGCGGGGAAGGCGGUGGUGGCGGCGGCGGUGGUGGUGGGAAGGUCCGACAAACUCAUCGAACCCAAGCUACCUGAUACCAAAUUGGUAGAGGCUAGGGUUCUACCAGGUCUCGGAUGUAGGUUGUAGGGGUGGAAGUGCGGGCUGCGAGGUUGGAGACGCCGGCGCCGGCGGUUGGGCGCCGUCGCGGCGUGAGAGAGAGAGAGAGAGAGGCGGCUAGGGUUUGGGGCUCCCGUCUCCGUAAGGGAGACGACAACAGAAUACUGUUUAUUGUCUGCUUAAUAUCGGAAGGGGUACAUGUGUUUAUAUAGGAGGACAGCCUCAACUAAACCUUAGAUAACUUGGACUCUAACUUGGACUGUAAUAUAACUUGGACUCUAAGAUAGGUAAGAUAACUUGGGCUAAGCCCGUAAUUAACCCUGCCCAUUGAGCCUCCUCCGUUGGUACGUUGUACCGGUCAUAACCACCCUCCAUCUCGUAUGAACACUAUAGUGAUAUAAAAUGAGUGUUAAAAGAGUAGCGCACUGUAGCCAGAUAUUUGGGAUUUCAUCAUCCUAGAAACAAGACCGCAGGACACUAAAACUAAUAGGAGUAGGAAGGCAUCCUUGGAAAUAAAACAAGACCAACAUGAGUUGAGGAUGCAAGUGCAUAUCAUGAAUGGUACAUAGAGCACAUAUAUACAUCAAGGCAGACAGGGAUCAAAUUAAGUGGUUUAUACUACAUCCCAAAACAAAUGAGACUGCUCCAUGUGUGUGAUGGAAAACUACAUACAUAUGUGCAUAUAUAUUUAGGUGUGAUGCCUGGUUGUUCAAUAUGAAGAAGUGUUUCAAACUUUCAGUGGGAUGGGAACUAACAUGAAUAUGAGCUAUAUAUAUUCUAUUAGUUACUGCUCAAGAAAUAUAUAUAUUCGGCAAGUUCWAUUUUUUUAUUGCAAUAUAUUCAACAGGUUUCUAGGCUAGUGGCAGCAUGAUAAUAACAAGACAGAUAAACGAACAAACAAACAAAAACAGUAGCCCCAUCGUUAUGCAAGAUUGGCAAGGAUGGACUAUAGCAGCCUAAUCAGACAUAGCAAUGGCAUGAUGGCCACGACGAGCUCAAAGCAACCACUCGAGGCAACGGACAGGAGCUCACCAUGGCUGUUUAUGUAGUCGUUCUGCCGUCGCACGGAAGCAGCGCCAAGGUGUUUGGCACAGUGGACCCCUUGUCGUCUGCAUCGGCAAUUGUGCUAUACCGAAUCAAAUCCAGCUGCACACAAGAGAAAUAACAAAUAAUCUUGAGGUCAAAUCAAAAAACAAAACAAGAAAUCAUGGACUCGAGCUUGGAGAAAAGAUUGGGUGAGCCUAGUUGAGGAAAGGUACAACAACAUCUAUGACCAAGUUGAGGUCAUGAAUA
rnacentral:lncRNA from 1 species